GAUCCAUGAGGCUGGUCUCUAAGGUGCCUUUUUGACACAUCACUUUGGCCAUAAUUUAUUUAUUGCAUAAGAACAACUAUUGCUAUACAACCAUCAUACAUAGUUAUUAAAGGUAUGAGGUACACUCCAGUGGUAAAGCCAAAAGAGUUCCUGGAGCAUAGGUGUGUAACUGAGAGAGGUCAGGUGCAAAAAAUGAAAAUUCAAAAAGGACUAAAUUCAAGAUGUUAGAAUUAUUUAACAAAAUUGACAAAAAUUAACAAUCUUAGCAGUUAUGAAGGUUUAGAAUUUGCUCACUUUUUGGGUUUGCAAGGGUUAUUGUGGAAACAGAUUGCAAGGACAUGGACAAUUUGUUUGAUGCUUAGGAAGAUGAUGCAAAGAUUGAGAUUCAUCUAUUUGAUGUAAGAUAUGCUAUGGAAGAGUUUGCGACUCAUGAAUCAGCAAAGUUUGGAUGUCCUUUAUCUAAUAUCAUAUUUAGUAUGGCCACCUUCCUGGUUGGUUUGAACCAACUCCCAUAUGAUGUUUUCAGUAUGGUUUUUGUGUGCUUAUGUCUGUGUGUGUA
rnacentral:misc_RNA from 1 species